rnacentral:rRNA from 1 species
AGUAAUGUAUGGGGAUCUGCCCGAUAGAGGGGGAUAACUACUGGAAACGGUGGCUAAUACCGCAUAAUGUCUACGGACCAAAGCAGGGGCUCUUCGGACCUUGCACUAUCGGAUGAACCCAUAUGGGAUUAGCUAGUAGGUGGGGUAAAGGCUCACCUAGGCGACGAUCUCUAGCUGGUCUGAGAGGAUGAUCAGCCACACUGGGACUGAGACACGGCCCAG